CUUCAUAAUCCAUAUCCAUUGCAGCCUGUUCAGCUGCAGCAACAGGCAUUGUUGUGGCAACCAUCUCAAGAGGCGAGAUGGCAUGGAUUAGGUGUAAACUUGAGGGGAAAGAAACAGAAAGGAAGCUCCACAGACAAGCCAUCCGUAAAGUCCUUCUGGCAGCUGUUGCAGAGUUAAUUGUACUGUGGCCUUGUUAAGUGUACAAUUGACCACGUGAAAAAGGGGUAAAACUAAAAGCAAAAAAGCUCAAGUCGAGUGUCAAACUUGAAUCUUAAGCAACUGAGAUCUGUCUUUUUGGAUCCAAUUUGGGAAGUUGGGAUUGGUAUGUAGUUCGAAUCUCGAUCCACGUUGCACCAAAAUGUAAUGUAGGCAUAUGAACCUGUUGAGCUACGUUUAAAUUGAUUGAUCAUGUUGAUUCAA